GAGUUUGAUCCUGGCUCAGAUUGAACGCUGGCGGCAUGCCUUACACAUGCAAGUCGAACGGCAGCACGGGAGCUUGCUCCUGGUGGCGAGUGGCGAACGGGUGAGUAAUGCAUCGGAACGUAUCCUGGAGUGGGGGGAUAACGUAGCGAAAGUUACGCUAAUACCGCAUAUUCUGUGAGCAGGAAAGCGGGGGACCUUCGGGCCUCGCGCUCUUGGAGCGGCCGAUGUCGGAUUAGCUAGUUGGUGAGGUAAAGGCUCACCAAGGCGACGAUCCGUAGCAGGUCUGAGAGGAUGAUCUGCCACACUGGAACUGAGACACGGUCCAGACUCCUACGGGAGGCAGCAGUGGGGAAUUUUGGACAAUGGGGGCAACCCUGAUCCAGCCAUGCCGCGUGAGUGAAGAAGGCCU
rnacentral:rRNA from 1 species